UCUGAAGCAGCCAAAGCCAUGACCAUCACCCCGACAUCGGGUUAUGAUGCUCCACCUUGGCUUGCCCGUUAUCUCAAUCGCAAGUAAAUCUUUCUCUGCGGUGUGAAUGAGAUUGUCAUUCGCACCGCUGCUGAAA
rnacentral:sRNA from 1 species